UACGUAGGGACCGAGCGUUGUCCGGAUUCAUUGGGCGUAAAGGGCUCGUAGGCGGCCAACUAAGUCGGACGUGAAAUCCCCAGGCUCAACCUGGGAACUGCGUCCGAUACUGGAUGGCUUGAAUUCGGGAGAGGGAUGCAGAAUUCCAGGUGUAGCGGUGAAAUGCGUAGAUAUCUGGAGGAAUACCGGUGGCGAAGGCGGCAUCCUGGACCGACAUUGACGCUGAUGAGCGAAAGCCAGGGGAGCAAACGGG
rnacentral:rRNA from 1 species